rnacentral:rRNA from 1 species
GUCUUUUUGAAUUUAAUCUAAAGUCUAAUYUGCUCCAUGAAUUUUUAAAUUUAAAUAGCUGCAGUAUAUUAACUGUACUAAGGUAGCAUAAUCAAUAGUUUUUUAAUUAAAAGCUGGAAUGAAUGAUUUUAUGAGAUAAUUACUGUCUCUAAUUAAUUAAAUUUAUAAUUUUUUUUUUAGUUAAAAUACUAAAUUGAUUUUAAAAGACGAGAAGACCCUAUAGAAUUUAAUAAUUUUUAAUUUAAAUUUAUAAAUUUAAAUUAAAAAUUAUUUGAUUGGGGAAAUUAUUAAAUUUAAAAAAUUUUAAUUAUUAUAAAUUACUAUAAUUAUUGAAUUAUUUGAUUUUAUAAAAAUUUAUAAAAUAAAAGAAUAAAUUACCUUAGGGAUAACAGCGUAAUUUUUUUUAAGAGUUCUAAUUGAUAAAAAAGUUUGCGACCUCGAUGUUGAAUUAAAAUAAAAUUUUAAUGAAGAAAUUAAAAAUUUUUGGUCUGUUCGACCAUUAAAAUUUUACGUGA